rnacentral:lncRNA from 1 species
CUUUUGGUAGAUAUUUAAAAACAUCAUCCCUCAAUCAAAUUUUAUUCAAAGUGAAUUAUGAUCACCUUCAAGUAGAAUUAUAUUCUUUAAAUAAAUCAUUAUAAAAGAUGUUUCCCCAUGCUUUUAAAUAAAUAUAACAACUGAAAUUGAGAAUGGAAAUGGGGAAUGUGUCAAAGAGACAACAACCCUACCAUAGAGCAGACAACAGCAGAAGGUCACCAACAGGUCUUCAAUGCAGCGAGAAAUUCCCGCACCCAGAGGCGUCCUUCAGCUGGCCCCUCAACAAAUAUAUAUACUAGUUCAAUGAUAAUGAACACCAUAUUAAACUCCAAAUUGUACACAAGAAACUAAAAUUGAAAAUAAUACAAGACUUAACAAAGGCCAGAGCUCCCGGGUGUUUGAACUUACUUUUAUAUCUACAUACUGUUGAUUUGUUCCGAAUUUAUGUAUUUGAUUGAAAAAAUUAGUUCUGUAAAUAAUGGUUUUACAAUAGAAUUAUCUCCCUCUGACGUCAGUAGAGAUUCAUAGCAGGGAAAAAAAAUGGCCACUUCUAACUUCUUUUCCCCCAUGGAUUAUUAAGCAGUUGUGGCUUGUGAUUUUUUAAUUGCAUAUAAUAACAUGAAUUAUAUGCCACACAAAAUUAAAUUUCUAUUCUUUAACUUUUAUGAAGGA